rnacentral:tRNA from 1 species
UCUUGUAAACCAGGUGUCGGAGGUUAAAAUCCUCCCUACUGCU